GCAUGUUUGCUCCCGGGUUUUGGAAAAGCAAAGCAUCCCGCCUCAAAAAAAUGUUACCCUUGUUCGUGUGCUGACUUGAAUCAAUGUUACAUUCAAGGGGGCCUUCACGGCAUGAAUACGCAAUGUAACUGUUUCCGGGUCGGGUUUUUACUGGCUGCAACUGUGAAACAAAUAUUGAUGAUUGUGCUUAUUCACCAUGUUUGUAUGGAGGGACAUGUAAUGACGGGAUCAAUUACUACAAUUGCACAUGUUUGCCUGGGUUUAGUGGAGAGAACUGUGAAAUAG